rnacentral:rRNA from 1 species
GCACCCGCGGUAAUUCCAGCACCAAUAGCGUAUAUUAAUGCUGCUGCUGUUAAAAAGCUCGUAGUUGGAUCAAGAGUUCGACAGUGCAAGGUGGCCUCGUUUGUACCAAUGGCUCCGGUCACUGGUACGGCGGCGGAUCAACCCCUUGCGCCAAACUGUCGUCUCUAACAGACCGAAACGGUUCCCUGCGAGUAGGCCACUUUAUUGGGGCUGAAAACACCUACGCAUCUACCAUAUGCUUACGGGACGUCGGUCAAAGUUACUGUGAACAAACCAGCGUGUCCAAAACAGGCUUCGCCUGAAUGUUCGAGCAUGGAAUAACAAGGGAUCGAUUCUCUCGGUUCUUUUUGUUGGUUUUUAACCCGAGAAGAAGUAAUUCAGGCCACGGUGUCUGGGCUGGGUUCCCCUUCACCUCGGUGGAGGCCCCAGUUAGGCCGUGUCCUUACGGGAUAAAUAGGGACUGACGGGGUCGUACGUACUUCCACGUCAGAGGUGAAAUUCUUAGAUCGUGGGAAGACGAACUUCUGCGAAAGCAUUCGACAAGAAUGUCUUCAUUAAUCAAGAACGAGAGUGUGGGGAUCGAAGAUGAUCAGAUACCGUCGUAGUCCACUACUGUAAACAAUGCCGUCUCAGGAUUGAGAAGUGAACAUAAUGACUUUCACAGCACUAACCCCUGAAACGAGAAAUCAAAGAUUAUGGGUUCAGGGGGGAGUACAUUCGCAAGGCUGAAACUUAAAGGAAUUGACGGAAUGACACCACAAGGCGUGGAGUAUGCGGCUUAAUUUGACUCAACACGGGGAAUUUUACUAGGUCAGGACAAUGUAAGGAUUGACAGAUUGAGAGCUCUUUCUCGAUCCAUUGUGUGGUGGUGCAUGGCCGCUCCUGGUUGGUGGAGUGAUUUGUCUGGUUGAUUCCGUUAACGAACGAGAUCUCGACCCUUAAAUAGGUGCCCGUGUCGAUUGUAGUUUCGCCUCUGCCUGCUUGCAGGAUCUGAGCGGGACGAGACUGCGGGAUUACUUCUUAAGGGGACUGUGUGCGUCUCUAGCACGCGUAAGAGCGAGCCAAUAGCAGGUCUGUGAUGCUCCUAAAUGUCCUAGGCUGCACGCGCACUACACUGAUGCAAUAAACGAGUCUGAGUGCCUUCUGGCAACCUACCUGGAAGCGGGUGGGAAAUCUUUUGAACUUGCAUCGUGAUGAG